rnacentral:lncRNA from 1 species
UAGUUUUAUUAAUUCUCGCUGGCCCCCAUCUGUGCUUUCGACUGGAUUCAGAACUCAGUUUAUCUUCCAGGCUCCCUGUCUUUGGGUCUUGAUCACCACAGAGGGGAAGGGGAGAAUCCAGAGAUAAAAUGUGAGACUGAAACUGUUUUAAAGAAGCAUACAAGAAAGAAGCACACACUUUAUUAGGGAGAUGUUGAUGAGAUGCUUACAACCCGCCCGCCACCCCCCAGCCCCAGCUAGGCCAUCUGGCAGGUACCGCCCGUGCGCCAGGCAUCGUUUUCAAAUUGCAAGACCGAAAUCCAAUCAACCGAAAUAAUUUCUUAGGAAGAUAAGCUUGCAACACGUGCAAUAAUGAAAAAAUUUAACUAGCAUUAAAAAUAUUCAGGAAUGUCGAGCAAUUACCACCUGGCCGCAGUCACAGGACAGAAGACGGAAUAAAUGGGCACGCACCAAAGGUUUAUAUUAAAGUGUAAGUUUCAGCCCCUCAGUAUAUUUAAGGGAGGCUGCUCUGCAGAGGAAACCUCUGCCUUCUCGGCGAGGGAGUUUCCGAGCUACCUUAACUGGGGCGCAACGCAGCCUUCCGCCACCAGAGGCAGCGGGCGUCUGCGGCCUGUCAAAAACUGGCGCUUUUUUCCUCCCCUUUCCGUGGAGAGACUAUCAACUCCAUCUGUCACAAAAAUUAAGGCUAAAUCUCCUCUCCAGAAGCAGAGGGAGCCGGGGCUCCGACGCGCUCAGCGUCGGGCUGUCUGCCUCUCCCUAGAGGCCAAGUGAAUUUGAAAUGGCAAAAGUCACAGCCGGAGGCCCAGCACUAGGAGAUUCCUCCGGCUGCGGGAAAUCUUCCUGUACCUGCUGAAGCUGCUGCGUUCCUCAGAGGCGCUUGGUCUGCCGUGGGAAGCUGCACCUCUGCAGUCCCCAAAACCAAAAUCAAACCUUAAAAGAGCCAGACUGAGAAGCCAGUCACCACGUAAGACAUCUGGACCACCUUCAGACUCGCAUGCUGUGAGGAAGCCCAUGCUUACUAUGUGUAGAGGAUACAUGGAGAAGGAAAGAGAUGCCUGGCCAGCUCCCUGCUGUUUCAGCCAUGUGAGUGAAGAAGGCACCAGACUUGUGAGUGGAGACACUAACUUGGAUGUCCAGCCCAGCUGAACCUUCAGGUGACUCCAGCUCUAGCUGCCAUCCUACUGAAGACACAUGAGAGAGACCCCAAGCCAGGGUCAAGAUCAGCGUGAAGCAAGUGAGGCAUUUUGGUGCAAAAUGUAAGGAGGCAUUGACCUUCAUAAUUGGGCUCCAAGACUCCAAGAGUGAGUGCCUCCUUAAAUUUUGUACUUUAGACACUACACUCACCUUUCUCUAGUUCUGGUCUUGCCUCAAGCAAGAAGAGCAGAGCUUAGCUCAGUCAACCCAAAGAAUCCUGAGAAAUAACAAAAAAAUAUUCUUUUAAGCCACUCAGUUUUGAGAUGGUUUGUUAUGCAACAAUAGAGCAUUAGAACUUUUCUUCCUGUCCAAUUGCUUAGGUGAAAGAUGCUAGUAUCUGCCUGAAUUCUUUCCUUUUCUUCACAUUCUACAUUCAAUUAAUGGCUCAUCAUAGGUGUCAAUAAAAUAUUUGAUAAGUUGAAUGAAUGAAGAAUCAGCACUUCUUGUCUUCUAAAUCAGCCAACUCAGAACUAGUCCAAAUCAUUUCUACUACAAAGAACAGUAAUAAAGACCCUGAGAGAUUAAAGAAUACAGAAUAGUUCUGAAGUUUUAAAAUAUAAAAUUAUAUUUCCAAAAGGGUUGACUGGUUCAGUGAAAGAACAAAAACCUCAAUCAACAAAUACCAAUUACCUUUUGGUGCUUUAGCAACAUAACCCAGAUAAAGUAGGAGGAGAUAGACUUCUGCCCUCAGAGGACUCAACAAUAUGUCACUUGGCCAUUUGGAGUUGUCAGAGGCUCUAACCACUUAGCAGAAGUCUUAAGUCACAGACACCCUGUAUUAGUGUGUUCUCACACUACUAUAAAGACUGGGUAAUUUAUUUAAAAAAUAGGUUUAAUCUGCUCAUGGUUCAGAAGGCUUUAUAGGCUUCUGCCUCUGGGGAGGCCUCAGGAAGCUUACAAUCAUGGCUGAAGGCAAGUGGAAGCAAGCACUUCUUCACAUGGCUGGCAGGAGAGAGAGAGCAAAGGAGAGGGGUGCUACACAUUUUCAAACAGCCAGAUCUUUUGAGAACUCACUCUCACAAGAACAGUAUGGGGGAACUCCCUCCAUCCCUUCCCCAUGAUCCAAUCACCUCCCACCAGGUCCCUCCUCCAACACUGGAGAUUAUAAUUCAACAUGAGAUUUAGGUGGGGACACAGAGCCAAACCAUAUCACAUUCACUCUCUUGUUUUCUUUAUUUACUUGCAUUCUUAAAACCAGAAAAUAUUAAUACUUCAGUUUGUGGCAGAUACUGCAUGGAAACCAAGCACCAUCUACUCUAGAAUUCUACAUUAGACUUUGUAUCCUGAAGGUUUACCUCAUUCUUCACAAAAGUCUUCCCUUUGUCUGUUGCCUUCUUAAGAAGAAUUAAUUCUUGGGAACAAGAUAGAAGGAUGGGAACCUCAUGUAGAAGGAAAUCCCUUUCAUGCACAGUAAAGCAGGGUCAUUCUCCCAGCUAAUGAUCUGGAGCCUCCUCCUGAACCCCAGCUUUGCUUAUAUCUUCGGCAAGGACCAUCUUCGCAUCUUUGAGCCCUAUUAAUUCCAUCUAAGAAAAAUGUUGUUCACAUUCACCCUCCCUGUCUUCUCAUGUCCUGGUUUCUUCAAGGUUUUCUUCAUUGCUGAAUACCAGGUCUUUCCCAACUCUCCUCCAAACCAGGGAUUGUAAACCAGAGAAGCAUCUCUAAAGGACUCGGGAGCUUUUUCAAAAUACAUAUGCCUGUGCCAACUUCAUUACACUUGAAUUCUUCCCCAGGGGCCAAGGAAUGUGUACUAUGGAAAAAAACAAACACACACACAAUGGCAUAUUUCUGCCUCAACCACUCAACAUCAGUGGUUGCUAGAUUUUGAGAUUUCAAAGAUCCGUUUAUUUUCAAAAAAAAUCUGGAAUAUCUUUUAAAAAAAGAUGCCAACUUUUUAUUUUAUCAAGCAUUAACAAACAAACAAACCUACUACUACCAUCUGUUAACACCAGUGUCUUAUUAAAUAAAGAGGAUUUGAAACCCCAAAGGCAGAGAAAGAAUAACCAGAGAAUACAGGCAGAGGUGCUGAGCAGCUAAUUGGAGGGGAUAGUAUGAGCCUCCAAAGAUUAGGGAAGAAAAUUGCAGUUGAAGAAAACUUGCUUUGGUUCAAUGCAAAAAUAAUGGGAUGAAUGGCAUGCUGAAAUAUCAUAUGACUUACGAAAAUGAUGAAUGUGAUUCCCAAACUCAAUAAGAGGAGAAAUGAUGACAAGAAGCAAAGGCCGUCUACAGCCCUCACGUUAGGUUUAUUGAAUCUACAUAUGUGGAACCCAUGAAUGGGAGUCGGAGAAGGGGGCAACUGUAUACGCAAAAAGCUAUCAUAAUUGCCAAAAUAGUGAUAACAAUGUUGAAACACUACUGGGAUUACUACUGUUAAUGACUACCAGUGAUCAAGCACCUCCCCUGCCCCAGUGUUUGCCUGCCUUGUUUGAAGACACGAAAAAAUGUACACAAAAUGAUUUAGAACUGUUGAACUUUUCAGAAAAUAAUUUAAAAUCAUCUACCUCAUAACUAAAGCAGGUUGAUCCUGAGAUCUUGUUCCCGAUCUUCCAUUUUUGCAAAGACUGAAGGUUCAAUCUAUUUUUUAGACCAUUAUUUUUGUUCUGUCAUACCUCAGGGUCGGAACUGCAACUUGCUCCGGAGGGCACGGGCUCCGUAGUCACCAACUGCAAGGCCCCCUCCCCCUGCGGGCGCUCCCCUGGCACAAUUCGCGUUCGAGAGUGACCUGCACUCGCUGCUUCAACUGGAUGCACCCAUCCCCAAUGCACCCCCUGCUCGCUGGCAGCGCAAAGCCAAGAAAGCCACAGGCCCGGCCCCCUCACCCAUGCGGGCCGCCAACCGAUCCCACAGCGCCAGCAGGACUCCGGGCCGAACUCCUGGCAAAUCCAGUUCCAAGGUUCAGACCACUCCUAGCAAACCUGGCGGUGACCGCUAUAUCCCCCAUCGCAGUGCUGCCCAGAUGGAGGUUGCCAGCUUCCUCCUGAGCAAGGAGAACCAGCCUGAAAACAGCCAGACGCCCACCAAGAAGGAACAUCAGAAAGCCUGGACUUUGAACCUGAACGGUUUUGAUGUAGAGGAAGCCAAGAUCCUUCGGCUCAGUGGAAAACCACAAAAUGCGCCAGAGGGUUACCAGAACAGACUGAAAGUACUCUACAGCCAAAAGGCCACUCCUGGCUCCAGCCGGAAGACCUACCAUUACAUUCCUUCCCUGCCAGACCAUAACCUGGAUGCCCCUGAAAUCCGAAAUGACUACUACCUGAAUCUUGUGGACUGGAGCUCUGGGAAUGUAUUGGCCGUGGCGCUGGACAACAGUGUGUACCUGUGGAGCGCAAGCUCUGGUGACAUCCUGCAGCUUUUGCAAAUGGAGCAGACUGGGAAAUAUGUAUCCUCUGCGGCCUGGAUCAAAGAGGGCAACUACUUGGCUGUGGGCAUCAGCAGUGCUGAGGUGCAGCUUUGGGAUGUGCAGCAGCAGAAACGGCUUCGAAAUAUGACCAUUCACUCUGCCCGAGUGGGCUCCCUAAGCUGGAACAGCUAUAUCCUAUCCAGUGGUUCACAUUCUGGCCACAUCCACCACCAUGAUGUUCGGGUAGCAGAACACCACGUGGCCACACUGAGUGGCCACAGCCAGGAAGUGUGUGGGCUGCGCUGGGUCCCAGAUGGACGACAUUUGGCCAGUGGUGGCAAUGAUAACUUGGUCAAAGUGUGGCCUAGUGCUCUUGGAGAGGGUGGCUGGGUUCCUCUGCAGACAUUCACCCUUCAAGGGGCUGUCAAGGCCGUAGCAUGGUGUCCCUGGAAGUCCAAUGUCCCGGCAACAGGAGGGGGCACCAGUGAUCGACACAUUUGCAUCUGGAACGUGUGCUCUGGGGCCUGUCUGAGUGCCGUGGAUGCCCUUUCCCAGGUGUGCUCCACCCUCUGGUCUCCCCACUACAAGGAGCUCAUCUCAGGCCAUGGCUUUGCACAGAACCAGCUGGUUAUUUGGAAGUACCCAACCAUGGCCAAGGUGGCUGAACUCAAAGGUCACACAUCCCGGGUCCUGACUCUGACCAUGAGCCCAGAUGGGGCCACAGUGGCAUCUGCAGCAGCAGAUGAGACCCCGAGGCUAUGGCACUGUUUUGAGUUGGACCCUGUGUGGCGGCGGGAGCGGGAGAAGGCCAGUGCAGCCAAAAGCAGCUUCAUCCACCAAGGCAUCCGCUGAAGACCAACCCCUCGCCUCAGUUGUUUUUUAUUUUUCUAAUAAAGUCAUGUCUCCCUUCAAAAAAAAAAAAAACAAAACUGCUGUGUAAUUACAGAAUUGUAUUCAAUCCUGUUUUAAUAAAUAAGAGACAAUUUACAAUAACUCACUUGCAGCAACGUGCUUUGAAUCAUUUCAGAGAAGAAGGACAGAAGAGAUUGGUUGACACCACAGUGUGAUUAAAAAAAUAGGAGUCAGUGGUAUUUAUGAAAUGAAUAAAUAAAGCACAUGCCCACCCCCAUUAACCCACUGCAUGGUCAAGUUCUUAGGGAGGUGAUGAGGCAACCUCUCCAAUAUUCCCAUUAUAGAGCUCCACUAACAUUCUGCUUGGUGAUGACAAAGUUGCAUUUAGAUUGGUUGAUAGUUGGUAUUGAGCCCAAAACCAGGGUUGAAGUUGUUCCAGGGAGAGGCUGGAUUGAGGCACAAUGUACAGCUAACGUUAACCUCCUCCUGACUUGACCACCCCAGCAGAAGGGCCUUGACACAAACCCGGUGUAUCUGCUGAGUGGGCAAAUACAAGGAGCGAUCCAGGCUGUAGUUGCAUGGCCUGAGCAGCAAUGCAAGGAGGACCUUCCUUUUGCCUUUAAGCCUCCUCUUCCAGAGAAACUUCUACCAGUGACCUGGCAGUGAGACUUGUGUUUCAUGUAGUGAUGAAUGUUUUAGACCUCCAGACUCUUGUUCUACUGAAGAACCUCCCUCCAGGGUCCUGCGUUGAACUGGCCUUGCUGCAGACUUCCUGAGUUUGUCAGCAGUAAAGGUAACAGUACCCAGAAUGGAGCAUUCUAGCCAAUGGUUAAAAGUCCUGGUAUUUUCUCCACAAAGUGAUGAUAAGAAAGGGGGUUGACCCCUCAGUCAUAUCAAAAAUGUUUAGAGGUCACUGGGUAGACAUGAAAGACAACCUGUUGAAAAUUUAGAUGGAGGUCUGGAGUCAUCAUACAAGCAGAGGAAAAAGACUGAAAAGAAAUAAUGUCAGAAUGUUAAUGAUAUGGUGAUGUUAGAGGUGAUUUUAGUUUUUUUCUUUGUGCUUUUCAGUGUGAAUUCUCUAAAAUGAGCAUUUUUUAAACAAGAAAAAAAUGUUAAAAUAGGCACCAAAAACCUGAAUACAAUAAAAUACUUUUAAAUAAGUUCACACUCAUAUCUAGAAACUCUAAGCAAAUCUAGGUUGCCAACAGUCACAAAAGGUAAUUCUAUUUAGGUUAAAAAUGUGAGCUACGACUAUCUCCCUU